rnacentral:sRNA from 1 species
AAUAUCUCCUUAGGGGAGUAACCGGCAACGUUUGUUGCGAUAAUAUCAACAGUAAGUUAACCAAAUGGUUUUCUGGUAUUGUAUGAAAUGGUGAGACCUAAGACAAAUGC